UACGAAGGGGGCUAGCGUUGUUCGGAAUUACUGGGCGUAAAGGGCGCGUAGGCGGUCUUGUAAGUCAGAUGUGAAAGCCCCGGGCUCAACCCUGGAAUAGCAUUUGAUACUGCGAGGCUUGAGUACGGGAGAGGAUGGCGGAAUUCCCAGUGUAGAGGUGAAAUUCGUAGAUAUUGGGAAGAACACCGGUGGCGAAGGCGGCCAUCUGGACCGGAACUGACGCUGAGGCGCGAAAGCGUGGGGAGCAAACAGG
rnacentral:rRNA from 1 species